UUGAACGCUGGCGGCAUGCUUUACACAUGCAAGUCGAACGGUAACAGGCCGCAAGGUGCUGACGAGUGGCGAACGGGUGAGUAAUGCAUCGGAACGUGCCCAGUCGUGGGGGAUAACUACUCGAAAGAGUAGCUAAUACCGCAUACGAUCUAUGGAUGAAAGCGGGGGACCGUAAGGCCUCGCGCGAUUGGAGCGGCCGAUGUCAGAUUAGGUAGUUGGUGGGGUAAAGGCUCACCAAGCCAACGAUCUGUAGCUGGUCUGAGAGGACGACCAGCCACACUGGGACUGAGACACGGCCCAGACUCCUACGGGAGGCAGCAGUGGGGAAUUUUGGACAAUGGGCGCAAGCCUGAUCCAGCAAUGCCGCGUGCAGGAAGGAGGCCUUCGGGUUGUAAACUGCUUUUGUACGGAACGAAACGGCCCUGGUUAAUACCCGGGGCUAAUGACGGUACCGUAAGAAUAAGCACCGGCUAACUACGUG
rnacentral:rRNA from 1 species